rnacentral:misc_RNA from 1 species
AGUCGUAACAAGGUCUCCGUUGGUGAACCAGCGGAGGGAUCAUUACAGAGUUGCAAAACUCCCUAAACCAUUGUGAACGUUACCUUCAAACCGUUGCUUCGGCGGGCGGCCCGGGUCCGCCCGGUGCCCCCUGGCCCCCUAGCGGGGCGCCCGCCGGAGGAAACCCAACUCUUGAUUAUUAUGGCCUCUCUGAGUCUUCUGUACUGAAUAAGUCAAAACUUUCAACAACGGAUCUCUUGGUUCUGGCAUCGAUGAAGAACGCAGCGAAAUGCGAUAAGUAAUGUGAAUUGCAGAAUUCAGUGAAUCAUCGAAUCUUUGAACGCACAUUGCGCCCGCCAGUAUUCUGGCGGGCAUGCCUGUUCGAGCGUCAUUUCAACCAUCAAGCCCCAGGCUUGUGUUGGGGACCUGCGGCUGCCGCAGGCCCUGAAAACCAGUGGCGGGCUCGCUGUCACACCGGGCGUAGUAGAUUUUAUCUCGCUCAGGGCGUGCUGCGGGUUCCGGCCGUUAAAAGCCUUUUUUACCCAAGGUUGACCUCGGAUCAGGUAGGAAUACCCGCUGAACUUAAGCAUAUCAAUAA